GAUGAACGCUGGCGGCGUGCCUAAUACAUGCAAGUCGAGCGAACAGACGAGGAGCUUGCUCCUCUGACGUUAGCGGCGGACGGGUGAGUAACACGUGGAUAACCUACCUAUAAGACUGGGAUAACUUCGGGAAACCGGAGCUAAUACCGGAUAAUAUAUUGAACCGCAUGGUUCAAUAGUGAAAGACGGUUUUGCUGUCACUUAUAGAUGGAUCCGCGCCGCAUUAGCUAGUUGGUAAGGUAACGGCUUACCAAGGCAACGAUGCGUAGCCGACCUGAGAGGGGGGUCGGCCACACUGGAACUGAGACACGGUCCAGACUCCUACGGGAGGCAGCAGUAGGGAAUCUUCCGCAAUGGGCGAAAGCCUGACGGAGCAACGCCGCGUGAGAGAUGAAGGUCUUCGGAUCGUAAAACUCUGUUAUUAGGGAAGAACAAAUGUGUAAGUAACUAUGCACGUCUUGACGGUACCUAAUCAGAAAGCCACGGCUAACUACGUG
rnacentral:rRNA from 1 species